GACGAACGCUGGCGGCGUGCUUAACACAUGCAAGUCGAACGGUAAGGCUCCAGCUUGCUGGGGUAAACGAGUGGCGAACGGGUGAGUAACACGUGGGUGACCUGCCCUGCACUUCGGGAUAAGCCUGGGAAACUGGGUCUAAUACCGGAUAGGACCGCACCGUGGGGGUGUGGUGGAAAGUUUUUUCGGUGUGGGAUGGGCCCGGGGCCUAUCAGCUUGUUGGUGGGGUAAUGGCCUACCAAGGCGGCGACCGGUAGCCGGCCUGGGAGGGGGGACGGCCACAUGGGGACUGAGAGACGGCCCAGACUCCUACGGGAGGCAGCAGUGGGGAAUAUGGCACAAUGGGCGGGAGCCUGAUGCAGCGGCGCCGCGUGGGGGAUGACGGCCUUCGGGGUGUAAACUGCUUUCGCCAUCGACGAAGGGUUUCUGACGGUAGAUGGAGAAGAAGCACCGGCUAACUACGUG
rnacentral:rRNA from 1 species